GGGUAUAGCUCAGUGACACAGUGCAUGCUUGGCAUGCAUGAGGUCCUGGGUUCAAUACCUAGUACCUCCA
rnacentral:tRNA from 1 species